GACGAACGCUGGCGGCGUGCUUAACACAUGCAAGUCGAACGGAAAGGCCCUGCUUUUGUGGGGUGCUCGAGUGGCGAACGGGUGAGUAACACGUGAGUAACCUGCCCUUGACUUUGGGAUAACUUCAGGAAACUGGGGCUAAUACCGGAUAGGAGCUCCUGCUGCAUGGUGGGGGUUGGAAAGUUUCGGCGGUUGGGGAUGGACUCGCGGCUUAUCAGCUUGUUGGUGGGGUAGUGGAUUACCAAGGCUUUGACGGGUAGCCGGCCUGAGAGGGUGACCGGCCACAUUGGGACUGAGAUACGGCCCAGACUCCUACGGGAGGCAGCAGUGGGGAAUAUUGCACAAUGGGCGGAAGCCUGAUGCAGCAACGCCGCGUGCGGGAUGACGGCCUUCGGGUUGUAAACCGCUUUCGCCUGUGACGAAGCGUGAGUGACGGUAAUGAGUAAAGAAGCACCGGCUAACUACGUG
rnacentral:rRNA from 1 species